GACGAACGCUGGCGGCGUGCUUAACACAUGCAAGUCGAACGGAAAGGCCCUGCUUUUGUGGGGUGCUCGAGUGGCGAACGGGUGAGUAACACGUGAGUAACCUGCCCUUGACUUUGGGAUAACUUCAGGAAACUGGGGCUCAUACCGGAUAGGAGCGCCUGCUGCAUGGUGGGGGUUGGAAAGUUUCGGCGGUUGGGGAUGGACUCGCGGCUUAUCAGCUUGUUGGUGGGGUAGUGGCUUACCAAGGCUUUGACGGGUAGCCGGCCUGAGAGGGUGACCGGCCACAUUGGGACUGAGAUACGGCCCAGACUCCUACGGGAGGCAGCAGUGGGGAAUAUUGCACAAUGGGCGGAAGCCUGAUGCAGCAACGCCGCGUGCGGGAUGACGGCCUUCGGGUUGUAAACCGCUUUCGCCUGUGACGAAGCGUGAGUGACGGUAAUGGGUAAAGAAGCACCGGCUAACUACGUG
rnacentral:rRNA from 1 species